rnacentral:rRNA from 1 species
GAUGAACGCUGGCGGCGUGCCUAACACAUGCAAGUCGAACGGAGUUUAUAUUAUGAAGUUUUCGGAUGGAAUGAUAUAAACUUAGUGGCGGACGGGUGAGUAACGCGUGGGUAACCUGCCUCAUACAGGGGGAUAACAGUUGGAAACGACUGCUAACACCGCAUAAGCAUACAGUAUCGCAUGAUACAGUGUGAAAAUAUUUAUAGGUAUGAGAUGGGCCCGCGUCUGAUUAGCUAGUUGGUGAGGUAAAGGCUCACCAAGGCGACGAUCAGUAGCCGGCUUGAGAGAGUGACCGGCCACAUUGGGACUGAGACACGGCCCAAACUCCUACGGGAGGCAGCAGUGGGGAAUAUUGCACAAUGGGGGAAACCCUGAUGCAGCGACGCCGCGUGAGUGAAGAAGUAUUUCGGUAUGUAAAGCUCUAUCAGCAGGGAAGAAAAUGACGGUACCUGACUAAGAAGCCCCGGCUAACUACGUGCCAGCAGCCGC